UUGGCACUUUGGCAGGGUAUUGAGGGGGUGAGAGAACUCUGAGGUGGGAGGGCCCAGGGGGCAAUGAGGAAUGUGCUCUGUGUCCUCCUUGGGCCGGAGCUGGUGGUCAGUCCUGCCGGACCCGGGUUCCCUAGUGUGUCUGUGGAAUGAGAGGGCCCCAGAACGGCAGUGGCCAGAUGGGCCUGGCCUCACAGUGCACAGCAAGGCAGGGGGACCUCCUGGGCCCUGACCCACAGGGGUCUUCAUGUGGCAUCCUAGCUAUCCGCUGCCGUGUGACAAAACGGUCCCAAACAUGGCAGCUUAAAGCAGCAAACAUCGAUCACCUCGUAGCUUCUGUGGGUCAGGAAUCUGGGUCCAAGUGUUGGCCAAGACUGACAGGGACCCCCUUCCACGCUCACCCACAUGGCUGUCAUGGGCCGCAGGUCCUUGCUGGCUGUCGUCUGGAGACAGUGGAUCCCUCCUCUGGACGUCACCUCGGGGCAGCAAGCAAGACCACAGCCACAGUCUUUUUAUAACCUCAUCUGGAAGGGACGUCCCCUCACUUUUCCCACAUGCUGUUGGUUAGAGGCAGGUUAGUACAUCUAGUCUGUGCCCAAAGGAAGGGGCUUCAUGAAGGCACAAAUGCCAGGGCAUCCUGGGGCUGUCUGAAGGUCGAGAGUGAGUGACCCCUCUUCCGUAUCUCAGACUGGCGCCAGGUCUCUGGGAGCCGCACGUGGACAGAGACCACUCAGAUGCUGCCAGAGCUGCAGUGAGGUUCUGAGCUGGCCCGAUACCAGAUGCCCAAGGGCCAGGAGGCUUCCCUGUUGAGUGGGGACCACAGAGGCAGAGGAGUUGGGAAGGACAGACACUCCUGGCUGGACGGACUGUCCACGUGGUCUGGCCCCACCUCUGCGCUCAGAGCUCCCCAGCGGUUCUGCCCUCGGUCGGGUCCCUGAGCUCAUUGCCUGAACAGCUUUAUGGAGACUCACUCCGCACAGCACACAGCUCGGCCACCCCAAGCGCAGAGCCGAGGGUUUUACUACAGUCGCCGUCGCGCCGCCAUCCCCACAGCCAGCGCUGACAGUAUCUGUCUCUACGGAUGUGACUUCACAGGCAUGGUGUCACACCGCGUUUGUCUCCAUUCACUGACCACCUGUCCUCAAGGUCUGUGCAUGGUGUCAGGUGCCAGGAUCCCCUUCCUUUUGAGGCUGAAUAGUGGUUCAUACAAACGCCACAAUUGGCUCAUCUGUUCUUCCACAGUGGACGUCAGGGUUGCGUCCACCUGUUGCCGAUUGUGAGGAGGCUCCUGGCGUGGAUGUGGCUCAUACCCCUUGGGUGUAAGC